ACUCCAGCCGUGUCGAAACUAAUUAAGGUCACAGAGGUGAAAACACCUGCUAACAGUUAUCCAAUCACUCAGACGCCAUAAAGCAGCGGACGAGUUCCUUCAUGCUGAUGAAGGACUUCUGCAGCAGAGGAUACUUGAAAGGCGUCAGUUGAUGUUCCCGCUCCAUUUUAGCGUUUUACCUUUCUACCAUGCUGAGGCUGAAUGCUUUCCUCAGGCUAACGCUGGCAGGUGUGCUCCCCUCACGAGAGGGACUGGACCAACAUGGACGCUCGAGCUGCUCCAUCUGGGCUUCAUCAAAGACUUUCAGAAACGGCUGCUCCGCUCUGUGCUGUGGAGGAGGGAGAACUGUGAGGUGGUUAAAGUCAGCGCUGCAUAUCGUGCCUGCACUCUGCCGCUAUUCACGGUCUGUUUGCGUGACCGUCUUGGCCCUGUCUGCUCUGUGCAGUAACUUCAGACCCAGUGUCUCCACCAUACUGACUUUAUGUGGCUGCAUCAGACCGUUACUGUCGUCCUUACAGACUGACCACGGUUACUCUGGAUAGGCACUUGGACUCAUUGUGUAUAUAAUAAUAAUAAUAAUAAUAAUCAUGAAACUAACCAAACAUUUUUUUACUUUUAAUAUCAUUCCAAAUGCAAUAUAACUGGAUUUCUACUGCCCAUUUUUAAUUGUAAUAAAGAUUGACAUAUUUGCUGACCAGUCAAGAACAAUAUUUGGCAUCAUUGUCAAUAUUUCAGGAUGUGUGCGACUGA